GGUGAACGCUGGCGGCGUGCCUAACACAUGCAAGUCGAGCGGUGCAGUUUGAAGCUUCGGUGGAAAGCUGCAUAGCGGCGGACGGGUGAGGAAAACGUAGGAACGUGCCCCUUGGAGUUGGAUAGCCACGGGAAACUGUGGGUAAACCGACGUAGACUCGAGAGAGUAAAGGCCGAAAGGCGCCAAGGGAGCGGCCUGCGGCCCAUCAGGUAGUUGGUAGUGUAAAGGACUACCAAGCCGACGACGGGUAGCCGGUCUGAGAGGAUGGCCGGCCGACAAGGGCAACUGAGAGACGGGCCCUACUCCUACGGGAGGCAGCAGUGGGGGAUUUGGGACAAUGGGCGAAAGCCUGAUCCAGCGACGCCGCGUGGAGGACGAAGCCCUUCGGGGUGUAAACUCCUUUUCUCAGGGAAAAAGGAUGAUGGUACCUGAGGAAUAAGCCCCGGCUAACUACGUGCCAGCCGCCGCGGUAACACCCUCGUCCUCUA
rnacentral:rRNA from 1 species